rnacentral:rRNA from 1 species
CACGCAGGCGGUCUAUUAAGUCGGAUGUGAAAGCCCGGAGCUCAACUCCGGAAUUGCAUUCGAAACUGGCAGACUUGAGUACGAGAGAGGGAAGCGGAAUUCCUGGUGUAGAGGUGAAAUUCGUAGAUAUCAGGAGGAACACCAGCGGCGAAAGCGGCUUCCUGGCUCGAUACUGACGCUCAUGUGCGAAAGCGUGGGGAGCAAACA